rnacentral:rRNA from 1 species
GACGAACGCUGGCGGCGUGCUUAACACAUGCAAGUCGAACGGAAAGGCCCUGCUUUUGUGGGGUGCUCGAGUGGCGAACGGGUGAGUAACACGUGAGUAACCUGCCCUUGACUUUGGGAUAACUUCAGGAAACUGGGGCUAAUACCGGAUAGGAGCUCCUGCUGCAUGGUGGGGGUUGGAAAGUUUCGGCGGUUGGGGAUGGACUCGCGGCUUAUCAGCUUGUCGGUGGGGUAGUGGCUUACCAAGGCUUUGACGGGUAGCCGGCCUGAGAGGGUGACCGGCCACAUUGGGACUGGGAUACGGCCCAGACUCGUACGGGACGCAGCAGUGGGGAAUAUUGCACAAUGGGCGGAAGCAUGAUGCAGCAACGCCGCGUGCGGGAUGACGGCCUUCGGGUUGUAAACCGCUUUCGCCUGUGACGAAGCGUGAGUGACGGUAAUGGGUAAAGAAGCACCGGCUAACUACGUG